GACAGUUGCCGCCGCCGCUAUGUCAUAUUGAACCGCAGCUUCUGCAAACAAUUCUGGACUUUUCUCAGCUAGUCCAUCUUCGGCGUUACUGUAAGUGAAGCCGGUUCAUAGUCAAAUCUGUGCUUGGGGUGAUACUAACUCUAUAGACCAGUACAAACACUUGCUAGCUGUAGUAUGGAUUUACCUCAUCAGCUUCUGAUAUACUGGACUGAUGUAAGGUUGCUGCUACACUUGUUAACAUCGAGCACGGUGAGGAGACACAACAUGGAUCCCAGAGAGGCAACUGAAUGAAUGCUCACACCAUGUGUGCAUACCGACAAACUGAGGACCCACUAACAAAGCAUCACACCGUUGCGCUGCUAGUGGUGAAAAUUCUACAGGCUGUCUUUGAAACACAUAUUAGUCCAUACCACUUUUUUAAAAAUCCCAUUUAUGACCAAAUAAUCUAUUGUCAUAUUAACAAU